CCUACGGGGGGCUGCAGUAGGAAAUCUUCCACAAUGGGCGAAAGCCUGAUGGAGCAACGCCGCGUGGGUGAAGAAGGUCUUCGGAUCGUAAAACCCUGUUGUUAGAGAAGAAAGUGCGUGAGAGUAACUGUUCACGUUUCGACGGUAUCUAACCAGAAAGCCACGGCUAACUACGUGCCAGCAGCCGCGGUAAUACGUAGGUGGCAAGUGUUAUCCGGAUUUAUUGGGCGUAAAGGGAACGCAGGCGGUCUUUUAAGUCUGAUGUGAAAGCCUUCGGCUUAACCGGAGUAGUGCAUUGGAAACUGGGAGACUGGAGUGCAGAAGAGGAGAGUGGAACUCCAUGUGUAGCGGUGAAAUGCGUAGAUAUAUGGAAGAACACCAGUGGCGAAAGCGGCUCUCUGGUCUGUAACUGACGCUGAGGUUCGAAAGCGUGGGUAGCAAACAGGAUUAGAUACCCCAGUAGUC
rnacentral:rRNA from 1 species